UACGUAGGGUGCAAGCGUUGUCCGGAAUUAUUGGGCGUAAAGAGCUCGUAGGCGGCUUGUCGCGUCGGCUGUGAAAACCUGGGGCUCAACCCCGGGCCUGCAGCCGAUACGGGCAAGCUAGAGUUCGGUAGGGGAGACUGGAAUUCCUGGUGUAGCGGUGAAAUGCGCAGAUAUCAGGAGGAACACCGGUGGCGAAGGCGGGUCUCUGGGCCGAUACUGACGCUGAGGAGCGAAAGCGUGGGGAGCGAACAGG
rnacentral:rRNA from 1 species